rnacentral:lncRNA from 1 species
CCUACUAUAGUAAUAUCCAUUUCCCUUUCAAAGAAGAGUAUUCCGACUAGUAGGGCGAGGAUAUACUCGAAGGAAACUUAUACUACGCUCAAAGCUUUCUUAAACUCUAAAGAAAUACUCUCAAGAUUAUAGAAGAAGAAUUCUCUCUAUAGUUUCUCUCUCUAGAGUUUCAAUGAAUUCGUAAGAAAAUAAUGAAGGAAUGAGCUUCUAUUUAUAAGCUUGGCAGAGUAAGGGUAAAAUAGUCUUUUCGCC